rnacentral:rRNA from 1 species
GAUUUCCGUAGGUGAACCUGCGGAGGGAUCAUUACCGAGUUUACAACUCCCAAACCCCUGUGAACAUACCACUUGUUGCCUCGGCGGAUCAGCCCGCUCCCGGUAAAACGGGACGGCCCGCCAGAGGACCCCUAAACUCUGUUUCUAUAUGUAACUUCUGAGUAAAACCAUAAAUAAAUCAAAACUUUCAACAACGGAUUUCUUGGUUCUGGCAUCGAUGAAGAACGCAGCAAAAUGCGAUAAGUAAUGUGAAUUGCAGAAUUCAGUGAAUCAUCGAAUCUUUGAACGCACAUUGCGCCCGCCAGUAUUCUGGCGGGCAUGCCUGUUCGAGCGUCAUUUCAACCCUCAAGCACAGCUUGGUGUUGGGACUCGCGUUAAUUCGCGUUCCCCAAAUUGAUUGGCGGUCACGUCGAGCUUCCAUAGCGUAGUAGUAAAACCCUCGUUACUGGUAAUCGUCGCGGCCACGCCGUUAACCCCCAACUUCUGAAUGUUGACCUCGGAUCAGGUAGGAAUACCCGCUGAACUUAAGCAUAUCAAUAAGCGGAGGAAAU